rnacentral:rRNA from 1 species
CGGAAUUACUGGGACGUAAAGCGCAUGCAGGUGGUUUGUUAAGUCAGAUGUGAAAGGACCCGGGGCGUCAACCUACGGAAUAGCAUUUAGUAAACUGGCAGACUAGAGUACUGUAGAGGGGGGUAGGAAUUUCAGGUGUAGCGGUGAAAUGCGUAGAGAUCUGAAGGAAUACCGGUGGCGAAGGCGGCCCCCUGGACAGAUACUGACACUCAGAUGCGAAAGCGUGGGGAGCAAACAGGAUUAGAUACCCUGGUAG